AUCUUUGCGAUUGGGGCAAUGACGCAGCUAGUGAGGUUCUAACUGAGGCGCGUCUAUUGCUGGUUGAAAACUAAAUCAAUGAUUCUGAGAAUAUUUUUGAAUAUUGAGAUGGACAA
rnacentral:snRNA from 1 species